rnacentral:tRNA from 1 species
GGGCUCGUGGCGGAAUUGGCAGACGCUGCGGACUUAAAAUCCGCUGACCCGAAAGGGUCGUGAGGGUUCGAGUCCCUCCGAGCCCA